GUGCUAAGGUAGCAUAAUCAUUUGCUACUUAAUUGGUAGCUGGAAUGAAAGGUUAAACUAGCUUACUCAGUUUGUUGUGUUUUGUAAGAAAUUAAAGUCGAGGUAAGAAUUCUUUGAUCUGCUAGGGGACGAUAAGACCCUAGAAGCUUAACAAUAAGAGUAUUUAUUAGUUAUAAAAAUUAAUUUGUUUUACUGGGGCGGUAAAGGUAUAUAAACUAUUAGUGUAUUGAUAGAUCCUUAAAAUAAAGAUAAAACGGGAAAGUUACUCUAGGGGUAACAGUGCAAUAUUUUUGGAGAGAUCAUAUCGAUAAAAAUGUUUGCAACCUCGAUGUUGAAUUAAGAUGUCUACGUGAAGCAGCAGGUACGAGAGAGGGUUUGUUCAACCUUUAAAUUUUUACAUGAUCUGAGUUCAAACCG
rnacentral:rRNA from 1 species